rnacentral:rRNA from 1 species
UACGUAGGUGGCAAGCGUUGUCCGGAUUUACUGGGCGUAAAGAGCGCGCAGGCGGUCGUUCAAGUCGCGUGUGAAAAGCCCCCGGGGCUCAACCUGGGAAUGGCAUUUGAGACUGCAUAGCUAGGGUGCGGAAGAGGGAAGCGGAAUUUCCGGUGUAGCGGUGAAAUGCGUAGAUAUCGGAAGGAACAUCAGUGGCGAAAGCGGCUUCCUGGUCCAGCACCGACGUUCAGGCACGAAAGCGUGGGGAGCAAACAGG